rnacentral:misc_RNA from 1 species
AAGAAAGCUGAAGAGGCUAUUUCUGCAUCCAAGGAAAUUGAGAAGACGGUAGAGGAACUUACUAUUGAGCUGAUUGCUACAAAGGAAUCCUUAGAGUCUGCACAUGCUGCCCAUCUGGAGGCAGAGGAACAAAGAAUAGGAGCAGCUAUGGCCAGGGAGCAAGAUUCUCUGUAUUGGGAAAAGGAAUUGAAGCAGGCAGAAGAGGAGCUCCAGAAACUUAACCAACAAAUUCUUUCAGCAAAAGAUCUCAAAUCAAAAUUGGCAACUGCUUCAGCUUUGUUACUUGAUCUAAAAGCAGAAUUAGCAGCUUAUAUGGAAUCUAAGUUACAGGAGGAAACUGGUCAAGGAAACACAAUAGCUGAGCAGGAGGAACCACAAAAGAGAACUCACACUGACAUACAAGCAGC